UGCCAGACUCCUACGGGAGGCAGCAGUGGGGGAUAUUGCACAAUGGGGGGAACCCUGAUGCAGCGACGCCGCGUGGGUGAAGGAGCGUUUCGGCGCGUAAAGCCCUAUCGGCAGGGAAGAAGGAGGACGGUACCUGACUAAGAAGCCCCGGCUAACUACGUGCCAGCAGCCGCGGUAGUACGUAGGGGGCAAGCGUUAUCCGGAUUUACUGGGGGUAAAGGGGGCGCAGACGGCAGCGCAAGCCAGGAGUGAAAGCCCGGGGCCCAACCCCGGGACUGCUCUUGGAACUGCGCGGCUGGAGUGCAGGAGGGGCAGGCGGAAUUCCUGGUGUAGCGGUGAAAUGCGUAGAUAUAUGGAAGAACACCGGUGGCGAAGGCGGCCGCCCGGACGGUAACUGACGCUGAGGCACGAAAGCGUGGGGAGCAAAUAGGAUUAGAUACCCUUGUAAGU
rnacentral:rRNA from 1 species